UACGUAGGGAGCAAGCGUUGUCCGGAAUCAUUGGGCGUAAAGCGCACGUAGGCGGCUUGGCAAGUCGGAUGUGAAAUCCCUCGGCUCAACCAAGGAAGUGCAUCCGAAACUGCUGAGCUUGAGUACUUAAGAGGAUCGCGGAAUUCCCGGUGUAGAGGUGAAAUUCGUAGAUAUCGGGAGGAACACCAGUGGCGAAGGCGGCGAUCUGGGAAGAUACUGACGCUGAGGUGCGAAAGCGUGGGGAGCAAACAGG
rnacentral:rRNA from 1 species